UUACUUGUUACGCUUGGCUUCUGAGCACAUUUUUCACCUCUUUGCCCAAUGAAGUGCAAAAUCUGGUUUCUCCCUGAAUUAAUUUGAGUAAUUUUUGUUUGA